rnacentral:rRNA from 1 species
CGCGGUAUUUUGACUGUGCGAAGGUAGCAUAAUCAUUUGUCUUUUAAUUGAAGACUUGUAUGAAUGGCUGAACGAGAAAAUAACUGUCUCUUUAAAAAAUCUUGAAUUUUACUUUUAAGUGAAAAGGCUUAAAUAAUUUUAAGGGACGAUAAGACCCUAUAAAUCUUUAUAUUAUUUUUCUUUAACUUUCAAAUUAUAUAUUAAAAAAAGAAAAGAAAAAAAUAUUAUAUUGGGGAGAUAAAAAUAUAAUUUUUAACUGUUUUAAAGAUAAAACAAUAAUUUUUGAUUUAUUAAAUAAUGAUCCUUUUUAAAGAUUUUAAGAUUAAGUUACUUUAGGGAUAACAGCGUAAUUUUUUUUGAGAGUUCUUAUCGAAAAAAAAGUUUGCGACCUCGAUGUUGAAUUAAAAUAUCCUUAUAAGUGCAGAAGCUAUAAAGGAAAGUCUGUUCGACUUUUAAAAUUUUACAU